rnacentral:rRNA from 1 species
GAACCGUCCAAACGUUAUUCGGAAUCACUGGGCUUAAAGGGUGCGUAGGCGGCCCGGCAAGUUGGGGUGUGAAAUCCCUCGGGCUCAACCGAGGAAUUGCGCCCAAAACUGCCGGACUUGAGGGAGAUAGAGGUGAGUGGAACUAUGGGUGGAGCGGUGAAAUGCGUUGAUAUCCGUAGGAACACCGGUGGCGAAAGCGGCUCACUGGAUCUCUUCUGACGCUGAGGCACGAAAGCUAGGGGAGCGAACGGGAUUAGAUACCCCGGUAGUCCUAGCUGUAAACGAUGAGCACUAGAUCGUAGAGAUCUCCAUGUCUUUACGGUCGAACUGAAAAGGUUAAGUGCUCCGCCUGGGGAGUAUGGCCGCAAGGCUA